CUCCUUUCCUCCCUACAUCCUCCACGCCCCAUGAUUUGAUGAGAUCAGAUAUAAGAGAGACUAAAGAGAGGAAGAGAAGAAGAAAGGUUGUUCUUAUCUUCGUGGUGGUUCGGUUUAGAUCUCAUCCAAUCUAUGCAAAAAGGUUCACACAGCAUUCAUCUUCUUCGAGAUCUAGAAGAGAAGAUCCAGAUCCAAAGCUAAGGAGCAAGAUCUCCAAGGUGCUACCACAUCGGUGAUCUUGAUACUUCAAUUAGAUAUCUUUAUGUGGAUACCAACA
rnacentral:lncRNA from 1 species